rnacentral:rRNA from 1 species
AGUGAACGCUGGCGGUAGGCCUAACACAUGCCAGUCGAACGGCAGCACAGUAAGAGCUUGCUCUUACGGGUGGCGAGUGGCGGACGGGUGAGGAAUACAUCGGAAUCUACUUUUUCGUGGGGGAUAACGAAGGGAAACUUACGCUAAUACCGCAUACGACCUACGGGUGAAAGCAGCGGAUCUUCGGACUUUGCGCGAUUGAAUGAGCCGAUGUCGGAUUAGCUAGUUGGCGGGGCAAAGGCCCACCAAGGCGACGAUCCGUAGCUGGCCUGAGAGGAUGAUCAGGCACACUGGAAGUGAGACACGGUCCAGACUCCUGCGGUAGGACGCAGUGGGGAAUAUUGGGCAAUGGGCGCAAGCCUGAUCCAGCCAUACCGCGUGGGUGAAGAAGGCGUUCGGGUUGUAAAGCCCUUUUGUUGGGAAAGAAAAGCAGCAGGUUAAUACGCCGCUAUUCUGACGGUACCCAAAGAAUAAGCACCGGCUAACUUCGUG